rnacentral:rRNA from 1 species
UACGUAGGGUGCAAGCGUUGUCCGGAAUUAUUGGGCGUAAAGAGCUCGUAGGCGGUCUGUCGCGUCGGCUGUGAAAUCCCGAGGCUCAACCUCGGGUCUGCAGUCGAUACGGGCAAACUAGAGUAUUGCAGGGGAGACUGGAAUUCCUGGUGUAGCGGUGAAAUGCGCAGAUAUCAGGAGGAACACCGGUGGCGAAGGCGGGUCUCUGGGCAAUAACUGACGCUGGAGGAGCGAAAAGCGUGGGGGAGCGAAACAGGG